UACGAAGGGGGCUAGCGUUGCUCGGAAUCACUGGGCGUAAAGGGAGCGUAGGCGGGUCUUUAAGUCAGGGGUGAAAUCCUGGAGCUCAACUCCAGAACUGCCUUUGAUACUGAAGAUCUUGAGUUCGGGAGAGGUGAGUGGAACUGCGAGUGUAGAGGUAAAAUUCGUAGAUAUUCGCAAGAACACCAGUGGCGAAGGCGGCUCACUGGCCCGAUACUGACGCUGAGGCACGAAAGCGUGGGGAGCAAACAGG
rnacentral:rRNA from 1 species